rfam:Anaerobium acetethylicum strain GluBS11 genome assembly, contig: Ga0116910_1035
AUUAAUCUUCAGGGCAGGGUGCAAUUCCCUACCGGUGGUAAAGCCCACGAGCCGAAAGGUUGAUUUGGUGAAAUUCCAAAGCCGACAGUAAAGUCUGGAUGAAAGAAGAUAUGA